AGCAGCUAUCGCUGAAGCCAGAAUAGCAAGAGGGAUUGCUGCACAGUGAAAGCAGCAAUCCCUUUUGCUGUUCUGGCUUCUGUGAUAGCUGUG
rnacentral:miRNA from 1 species